GUACUGGUAAACCCAAUAGGCAGACCGAAUUGAGGCAAGGUGAUUCCUAAGCAAACUGCAUACCAAAAUACAAAGCCAAACAAAGAAUCAGGGGCAAUCAUAAGAGGCACCGACCUCGGGAAUUGACCGCUCACACUAAACCAACUCAGCUGGCCUAGAGAAAGGUCCAGGCAACAAAGAGCCCGCAAAACGCUCGAGAGAAGACAACCCAUAAAUACUCAGGGGCAAAAAACAUACACGAGAGUCCAACGCUCAGACAAAAAUAAUAAAAAGGCAAGAAAGGGAUACUUUCUACAAGAGCAGUUCUCAGACCGCACGGUCAUGAAUAGAGUUUAAAGAUUUAUCCCCUCACCAGUCAUGGAAUAACUGCUGAGGAGAUAAAGGGGCAAUUGAUGAUCGCUGG
rnacentral:lncRNA from 1 species